rnacentral:lncRNA from 1 species
CACAUUCAAAGUUGCUAACACUAUGACCGAUCUCUCACAUUUGUACCAAAUUUGUUCUCCUACCUAUACCAACUUCAAGAAAUGAGUUUGCUGCCAUUUCUGAACUCCAUUAAUAAAUGAACUAGUCACUAAAGAAGGGAAGCAUCUCUGGCAUAUUGUGGAAAUGCAAGGCUCUGAUUCACAAGUACCUCCAUGGACAGCUGUAAUUCUGGACAGUUGGUUUGCAAACAAAGAAAGAUCCAUAUGCAGAUUUCCUCCUACCAAAGCCAAUCCCACAAAGAAAGCGAUGCAAAGGGACAUUCCUAGGGAUGACUGGGAAUUAUAUCAAAUCACCAGAAUUUUUAAACCUAGUUUUGAUGACUUUCAAGUAGCUAUGACCGAUGCAAUCCGCUUCACCCAAGGGAAACGGUCAAAAGCUGAGUCUGAGAAAGAUACGGGGAAUGGUCUUCGGAUUAAAGAGUCCAAAAGAAUAGUGUCUUCCUCAGAGGCAGCCAGUCCGGUAGAACAGACUCCGGAACGCCCCAAGAGAUGCACCAAAAAUAUUGUGAAACCACCCAUCCCCGAGUUCACACCACAAUCGAUACCACCAAUACCGCCCAUUUUUUCAGAACAGAAUAGCAGCGUAAUUUUCGAUGAAAAUGAAUCUGACAAAUCUCAGAUGCAGUCAGCGUCGCCAAAAACAGUAAAAGCCAAAAAGCCAAGUACAAAAAAGUCUGAGAAGUUUUUUUGCCCAUUAAAAAAAAGCAAGAAGCACAAUUGUGCCUCGAUGAAAGCACCCACAACUCUCCAAGAGAUGGCUAGUGCCCUGUGUGUGCUCUCACGUAAGUGUUACAGAUUUUUAAGUGUCUCUCUUUUAAAUGUAAAAAAUCAUAUGAAUCUGGUUCUAAAUUUGUCAAAACAAUAACUGCCCGGUCCUAGUUGCAUCAAAAUUUUUCUCCACUCAAUCGUAACAUCCCUUUCUUUUCCUCUCAAUAAUGAGAAUUUCAUUGUACAAUUUCAUUCUCAAUAAUCGAAAAACAAAUUUGAAGUUUACAGUUACAAUAUUUUUUUAUUGGAAAAAUGUUAUUUACCGGAUGAACUCUGGCAGGAUCGCUGAGAGUGGCGCUUUUGAGUCGCAGAGCGCUCUGCAUAAAAAAGCGUCAUUUAUGUGUAUAUAACUAUAUUCAAAAAUUUUUUUUAGCUCUACACAUUUUCUAUGAAUCAUUUGAAAGCCCAUCGUUCCUUUCCUCACUGUAGGAUAUUACUAUGUUUCCAGUCAUGAAAUCUUUUGAAGUUACAUUUUUAUAUUUCUUUUGCAGGAGAUGUCCAAAGACUACGAGAGCUGUUUGAAAAGACUUCAUCUACAAUCAUCUCUUUAUUAGAGGAACUCAAAAAAGACGAGGAGUCAAGCGAAUCCGAGAAAGAAGAGACAACUAAGAAGAUUGAUGAGGUCCUGAAAGACGCACCCUUCAAACUAUGGAGGAAUUUUCCAUUGGGUAUCUGUUUAUUUAGCCACGGCUCAUUUAGCCACGUGGCAAACUGCAACAAAAAUGUUGCAUCUUGCCACAGAUUUUAGGUGCUAUGUGGCUAAAUGAAACAAGAAAAAUUAGUGUGGCAAACGUGGCAAAGUGCAACAAAUUAUGUUGCAGUUAGCCACGUGGCCAAAGGAUAAAACCAAAUAUCUACAUUGCAGCGUUACCGAACUUAUUCGAAAAGAACUUGUCCUAACCUAACCUAACCUAACCUUACCUAACCUAACAUAACCUAAACUAACAUUACCUAACUUAACCUUACCUAACCUAACAUAACUUUACCUUACCUAAUAACCUAAUCUAAGGAAGGAGAGCUGGACGCAUGUGGUCAAUAAUUCCUCCGGAUACUUUCCUACUAGUAGAUUUUCAUGUAUUUCAGCGUAAAGUAGAAUCAGCAUUUCAUUGGUCACUAGUGGAGGAUGGUAAAAUCAUUAAAAUAAAAAUAAAAUAAAUAAAAAAUAAAAAUUUUCAAUACGAAUGAUGUUAAUAUUUUUAAUCUAUUCCAGAUCUUCAAUAAAAUCACUUACACUACAGUAAAAUAAAAUG